rnacentral:lncRNA from 1 species
CCAGAGGGCCCCUCCUGCCCGCCACGUUUCCUUCCUGCUGGGGGGCUUCUGUUCUCCCAGACCGGGUCGGUGCUCUUUUCCCCCGGCGCCCCUCCCCCACCCAGCCCGGGCCUUGCCUGCCGCAGCCACCUUCUUCUCUGAUGCUGUGUCCUGGACUUGGUGACAAUGGCAAAUUGACAAGAAGGCGAGCCUGGGCCUUUCCUGCGGCGACAUCCAGCUUCCCCCGCCCCUCCCUGGGUGGGUGCCCACCACACGCCCAGCCUGCCGCGUGCUUAUCCAGGCCCUCCAGGCCAGGCCUCCGGGUCUUAUGGAAGAAGGCCCCGUGUCUGGGCAGUGCCGUGGCUGUGAGUGAGCAUCCGGGGCCAGUCAGAUGUGCCGUCUCCGGAGGUCACUUCCAUAGUGGCCAUCAACAGCUUGGCCAAACUCGGCCGCAGGAUCUUUUCCUAUCAAUUGCAGGAUGGACUCUUCCCGCAGCCAUGCGACCUGUGGCCCGCGGUCCUGCUCCCUGAGCUGGAGGAGGCUGAACAGAAUGAGCAGGUUGAGGCCUGUGGGAAGGAAGAGCCACAUCUCCUUCAUGUUUAUUACCCCCUCCGCAGGCCAUAGCUAGGAGGCCUUGAAGGUUUUUUUAAGGGGGAAAGGGGGUUUCCAGAACCACAGCCGGCUCAGCAGAAAGUCUCCACCAACAGAAUCUGUGGGCGCACAUUCCUCAACAGCUGAAGAAGGGGCUGGAGGGGCUCAUGGCAUCCCCUCCAGAGGCAGGCCCAGGGCCCUGUGUGCAGUGGGGGGUCCUGCAUCUGCAUUGUUGUUAAGAAAGUGACAUUUGGCUACAUGGAGUGACUCAUGCCUGUAAUCCCAGCACUUUGGGAGGCUGAAGCUGUCAGAUUGCUUGGGCCCAGGAGUUCGAGAUCAGCCUGGGCAACUUGGUGAAACCUCAUUUCUUUUUUUUUGAGACAGGGUCUCACUCUGUAGCCAAGACUGGAGUGCAGUGGCACAAUCUCGGCUCACCGCAACCUCCACUUCCCAGGCUCAAGUGAUUCUCCUGACUCAGCCUCCCGAGUAGCUGGGAUUACAGGUGUGCACCACCACGCCUGACUAAUUUUUGUAUUGUUAGUAGAGACGGGGUUUCACCAUGUUGGCCAGGUUGGUGUUGAACUCCUGACUUCAAAUGAUCCACCUGCCUUGGCCUCCCAAAGUGCUGGGAUUACAGGCCUGAGCCACUGCGCCCGGACUUUUUUUUUUUUUUGAGAUGGAGUUUCGCUCUGUCACCCAGGCUGGAGUGUGGUGGCAUGAUCUCGGCUCACUGCAACCUCCACCUCCCAGGGUCAAGUGAUUCUCCUGGGUCAGCCUCCGGAGUAGCUGGGAUUACAGGAAGUAUUUUUUGAUGCUCUUGCAUCUGGGGCUGACCCAACACUGCUCAUCCCAUGUGGUCAUUGCUGGCUUACAGUUUUUCUUCCCAGGGUCUCCCCAAGAGCUGCUUCCUUUGACUCCUGCUGUGUGUAGUUCUGCUGACAAUGACCUGGACAGCUCUGCGCCAUGCACAGCGUCUCUUUUCUCCGACUUACCAAAUUUUAGACACUACUGACUCCUCCAUGUGAAAGAUGGGAAUUCAGCUACAUCACAUUACCCUACAAACUUUAUUGUUAAUAUUUCUUCCCGGUCAGCCCCAAACACUGAAUGUAAAUACGGUCCAACAUCAACCUGCAAACGAACACUGACAUGAAAGUGCAGUUGGAAAGGAUCUCGCAAAGGAACAGAAUCUGGUGAUCCUAAUCGUAAUGAACGUGAUCGCCGGGUAUUGAGAGCUUGCAGGUACCAGGGCUCCGGCACUACGUGUUUCACAGGGGCCACUCGGUAGACCUCUUGGUGACCUUGAGGUCAGGUACCACGUUCCCAUUUUACAGAGGAGGAAACUGAGAUAACCUACGACAGCGAAAAGGUAGCAGAGCUGGGACUGGUGCCCAGGCUCGCCGAGUGGAAAAGCCCUCGGCCACCGUGGAGAGCUCGCUUCCUGUGGUCUGAAGCGUCGCCCCUGCACCGGCUUCUGCUGCCAAGGAUGGCUUUUCCUCACUGGUGCCCACCUACGCUCACUUGUGUCAUGUGGUUAAGCCCUUUUGGCAACAUAAGACCUUUCCCAAGAAUGUGCCUCGGUGCAGAGGAAGACGGUGGGGGCAGGCCCCCUCCCCGGGAUGCUCCACCCUCCCUGACCUCACACGGGUGCAACCUGGGCCGUGGCCGAGACCUGCUGUGUGGCAGACAAUGGGAAGCCUGUGUGUCGUCCUGGGUGCCGGAUUUAGACAAUAUUUAGCUUUCCCUUGGUGGAAAAGCCUUUCCCCUCCUGCUUUGGGCAGGAACUGGUUCCUGUUGGGCGGGGCCUGGCUGCUGCCCCACCCCCACCCGGCCGGGCACCUUGACCGGCAGCUCUCCGGGCUGCUCCCUGCCUGUGUCCCUGAGCACUGACUCCAGAGGUUUAAUCAUUAACGGGCACGUUUGGCCUUCGGUCGUGGGCUGGAAUUUGGGACCUGUGCCCGGGAACAAUGAUCUCCGACACAUUAUUUUGUGUAAAAUCACUUUUAGCUGCCAUUAGCUAAUAAAGCUGGAAUAAAGUGAGGUCCAU